rnacentral:rRNA from 1 species
UGGGGAAUUUUGUGCAAUGGGCGAAAGCCUGACACAGCGACACCGCGUGGAUGAAGAAGCCCUUUGGGGUGUAAAAUCCUGUCGGCUGGAACGAAACAAAUGACGGUACCAGCAGAGGAAGCAUCGGCUAACUACGUGCCAGCAGCCGCGGUAAGACGUAGGAUGCAAGCGUUGUCCGGAUUUAUUGGGCGUAAAGAGUUCGUAGGCGGUUUGUUAAGUCUGAUGUUAAAGAUCGGGGCCCAACCCUGGGAGUGCAUUGGAUACUGGCAGACUGGAGUGUGGUAGAGGUUAGUGGAAUUCCCAGUGUAGCGGUGAAAUGCGUAGAUAUUGGGAAGAACACCAGUGGCGUAGGCGACUAACUGGGCCAUAACUGACGCUGAGGAACGAAAGCCAGGGGAGC